rnacentral:rRNA from 1 species
AUUGAACGCUGGCGGCAUGCUUUACACAUGCAAGUCGAACGGCAGCGCGGGCUUCGGCCUGGCGGCGAGUGGCGAACGGGUGAGUAAUGCAUCGGAACGUGCCCAGUAGUGGGGGAUAGCCCGGCGAAAGCCGGAUUAAUACCGCAUACGACCCGAGGGUGAAAGCGGGGGACCGAAAGGCCUCGCGCUAUUGGAGCGGCCGAUGUCGGAUUAGCUAGUUGGUGGGGUAAAGGCUUACCAAGGCGACGAUCCGUAGCUGGUCUGAGAGGACGACCAGCCACACUGGGACUGAGACACGGCCCAGACUCCUACGGGAGGCAGCAGUGGGGAAUUUUGGACAAUGGGGGCAACCCUGAUCCAGCCAUGCCGCGUGCGGGAAGAAGGCCUUCGGGUUGUAAACCGCUUUUGUUCGGGAAGAAAUCCUCUGGGCUAAUACCCCGGGGGGAUGACGGUACCGGAAGAAUAAGCACCGGCUAACUACGUG